GGUCCUGUAGUGAAGUUCAUGUUGGGUUGCAAGCUCAUCGAUGUGCAUUGAAGGUGCACCAGGAUCU
rnacentral:tRNA from 1 species